GACGAACGCUGGCGGCGUGCUUAACACAUGCAAGUCGAGCGAGGUCCACUCGGUGGCAACACCGGGGAAGACCUAGCGGCGAACGGGUGAGUAACACGUGAGCAACCUGCCCCGAAGACCGGGAUAACACCGGGAAACCGGUGCUAAUACCGGAUGUCCUCAUUGGGCCGCAUGGUCCGAUGAGGAAAUGGAUUCCGCUUCGGGAGGGGCUCGCGGGCUAUCAGCUUGUUGGUGAGGUAACGGCUCACCAAGGCUA
rnacentral:rRNA from 1 species